ensembl:lncRNA
CUUCAUUUUUUUUUUAUAUAUAUAUUUAUAUAUAUAAGGGGUUGACAUAAUGACAACACAGGAAACACGAAACUUGGGGUAUAAAGGAAUCUGUAAAAACAUCUUCACAUUUAGUUUUUUUUUACCAUGUUGAGAGGGCUGAAGACAGAGUUCUAUGAGUCUGUUUUACUUAUUCGAUAUAUUUCACCUUUAUUUAACCAGGUAGGCUAGUUGAGAACACCUUUAUUUAACCAGGUAGGCUAGUUGAGAACAAGUUCUCAUUUACAACUGCGACCUGGCCAAGAUAAAGAGGGCUGAAGACAGAGUUCUGUGAGUCUGUACGGUGUAACUGUCGGUACAAGUCCAGCCACCACGGGUAGUGUCUGUGGUUCUGUGUCAGUGGAUCCGUUGGUCACAGGUUCAGGGAUGUAUGUAGUAAAAACAAGUCAACUUUGUACGUGCAUUUUUAUCUGUAUAGUUGUGUCACAGGUCUGUGAUGCUGGUCUGUGGUUCAGUGUGUUUGUAAUUACAGGUCUGUGAUGCUGGUCUGUGGUUCUGUGUGUUUGUAAUUACAGGUCUGUGAUGCUGGUCUGUGGUUCUGUGUGUUUGUAAUUACAGGUCUGUGAUGCUGGUCUGUGGUUCUGUGUGUUUGUAAUUACAGGUCUGUGAUGCUGGUCUGUGGUUAUGUGUGUUUG